CAUGCAGGCGGUUAGAUAAGUUAGGUGUGAAAUCCCCGAGCUUAACGUGGGCAUUGCAUCUGAAACUGUAUAGCUAGAGUUCUGUAGAGGGGGGUAGAAUUCCAGGUGUAGCGGUGAAAUGCGUAGAGAUCUGGAGGAAUACCGAUUGCGAAGGCAGCCCCCUGGACAGAGACUGACGCUCAAAUGCGAAAGCGUGGGGAUCAAACAGGAUUAGAUACCCCUGUA
rnacentral:rRNA from 1 species